CCUACGGGUGGCAGCAGUGAGGAAUAUUGGUCAAUGGGCUUACGCCUGAACCAGCCAAGUCGCGUGAGGGAAGACUGCCCUAUGGGUUGUAAACCUCUUUUGUCAGGGAGCAAUUGGCGCUACGUGUAGCGUUAUCGAGAGUACCUGAAGAAAAAGCAUCGGCUAACUCCGUGCCAGCAGCCGCGGUAAUACGGAGGAUGCGAGCGUUAUCCGGAUUUAUUGGGUUUAAAGGGUGCGUAGGCGGAAUGCCAAGUCAGCGGUAAAAUCGCGGGGCUCAACCCAGUAGGGCAAAAGAUACUGCAAAGCUAGAGUAUGACAGAGGCAAGUGGAACUACAUGUGUAGCGGUAAAAUGCGUAAAUAUAUGUAAGAACACCAGUGGCGAAGGCGGCUUGCUGGGUCGAUACUGACAUUGAGGCACGAAAGCGUGGGGAGCAAACAGGAUUAGAUACCCUUGUAGUC
rnacentral:rRNA from 1 species